AUGAAACAAUUAGGGGAGGGGAGUGAAAUUUUCUCUAAAAUAAAUUAAAGACAGAUUUUUACAUAUUGUAUUGGAAAAAAAAAAGGGGCUUUUACUUCCAUAGCCAGUCAAUGACAUUGCUUCCUACCGAGACAUGAGAGUGCAAAUUUCGGUUAGGAAAGAAGAAAAGUGGAGGUACUGACGCUGCUUACCGGUGAAGAACACAGAGAUAAAGCUAAGAUCUGCUAAAAAGAGGUAAAAAUGGCUGAGCGCGCCGUUGCAUUUCUUAUAUCAAAAUUGGGCUCCCUGGCAUUAGAGGAAGCUAAAUUCCUUGGUGGAGUAGAAACCCAAAUCGUGUCUCUUCAUGAUGAACUCGAGUGGAUUAACUCCUUCCUAAGGGAUGCUGAUCAAAAGCGCAGAAGAUACAGAAGGGUUGAUGUAUGGGUUAGCCAAGUCAGAAAUCUGGCUUAUGAUGCUGAGGAUAUUAUUGAUAUGUUCGAGUUUGAGAUCCUGCAACAACAGCAAAGAAAUUUGGUGUUUUGGUGUUUGUGUUAUCCCUUAGAUCUUUAUACUCUACACAAGUUCGGAAAUCAAAUUGAGAAGAUCAAAAGAAGGAUUGGAGAGAUUUCUACUAACAAAUCAAAGUAUGGGAUUGAAGAUUUAGAAGCUGGAGAGACUUCGGCGGCUCGUUUGAAUGAUGGCUUAGCAAGGAAGCAAAGGAGAGCUCCCAUAGAAGAGGAAGUUGAUGUUGUUGGCUUUGAGAAAGAUAUUGAGAAACUAGUGAAGCUUUUGAUAAAAGAAGAGUCCCGGCACCAGCAGCUUCUUGUUGUAUCCAUAGUCGGUAUGGGUGGUUUAGGUAAGACCACUCUCGCUAAGGAAGUCUGUAGUGAAGUUAAGAACAAUACUACUUGUGAUUCUUAUGCAUUGAUUUAUGUCUCCCAAGAAUACACAAUGAAAGAUCUUCUCACUGGGGCCAUGGUACAACUUAAGAUGCUAACGAGUGAGGAGGAGGAGAAUUUGAAAAGGAAGAAUGAGCAAGACUUGGGGAAUGAACUGUCUGAUUACUUGAAAGAGAGGAAAUGCCUGCUCGUUUUCGAUGAUGUAUGGAAGAUAGAAGAUUGGGAUGAAAUAAAAGGGGUAUUUCUAGCUCAUCAGGAUGAAGGGAAGCAACAAAAAGUGUUACUUACUACCCGUAAUGUGGAAGUAGCAAAACAUGCUGGCUCAUCAAUUGAUCGACAUGAACUCCAACCUCUGGGUGAUGAGGAGAGUUUUAAACUAUUCGAACAGAAGGUCUUCCAAUCCCAAGUGGUAAGUGGAGAAAGACACUGCCCCGAAGAUUUGAAAGCUCUUGGAAAGGAAUUAGUUGAGAGGUGCCGUGGAUUACCGCUAGCGAUUGUGGUAUUGGGAAGCCUCUUAUCGACAAAGGAGAAGACAUAUAAUGUGUGGUCCAAAGUACUGGAAAGCAUGAAUUGGCAGUUUAAUCAAGGCCCACAACAAUGCAUUCACAUAUUAGCUACGAGUUAUAUUGACUUGCCAUACUACUUGCAAUCCUGCUUUCUCUAUUUUGGUCUUUUCCCAGAAGACCAUGAGAUCCAUUCUAACAAAUUGAUUCGGUUGUGGGUUGCCGAGGGCUUUAUACAACAAAGAGGAGAUGAAACUUUGGAAGAUGUUGCAGAGGAGUACCUUGAAGAGUUGAUUGGAAGGAGCAUGAUCCAAGUAACAAGUAGGAGAUCAGAUGGAGGUGUAGAAACAUGUCGUAUCCAUGAUCUCUUGCGGGAAUUUGCAAUUUCAGAAGCCAAGAAAGAUAAGCUUCUUGAAGUCUAUGGGAAUAACUGUUCCAUCACUCUAAACAAAUUCCGCCGGCUUGCGAUCCAUCCCAACCAAGGUACACUAAAUAUAUCGGGCUCCAGUUUAUACCAUCUUCAUUCCCUGUUGUGUUUCAGUGAAGCUCUCAAGAAAGAUCUAUGGAAGGGUCUUUAUGUGGAAUUCAAUCUGCUUAGAGUAUUAGAUUUAGAGGGUGUACAAACUCUUCACAAUUUACCUAAGGAAAUUGGAGAGCUCGUCCUUCUAAAGUACUUGAACUUGUAUGGAACCGAGGUACGAACAAUUCCACAGUCAAUGGGAAACCUAUGCAACCUACAAACUUUAGUUCUAUCCAACACUAAACUCACACACAUACCAAGGGAAAUAUGGAGAAUGAAGAAACUAAGACAUCUUUCUUGCUUCGACAUUGAGUCUCCACCAGUCAAAUGCGUAGACGAGGUUGUCAAUAAGAUUCUUCAAAGUUGUUUUCGCCCUCCUAGAGUUGAUAAACUGAAGGACCUCCAGACGCUAAGCCUAAAUGCAGGUAGUUGGAUAGAAGGUGGCCUCGAAAAGUUGACGAAUCUGAGGGAGCUCGGAAUACGUGGAGACUUGACAAUGCAUACGAAGACGUUAACCGAUUCCAUUGACAAAUUGAAAAAACUUCGAAUGUUGGAGUUAUGGGAGCGUAGAGAAAAUGCAGCCCCUUUGCCUCUUGUUUCAUUUUCAAAAUAUGUACACCUCUACAAAAUGAUUUUGUAUGGACCCCUAGAGAGGAUACCUGCCCUUAAAGAUUUCCCACCACAUCUCACAGAGUUGCGAUUGAUUGGAUCGCAUCUAAAGCAAGAGGACCAACCAAUGGCAACACUAGAGAAGCUACCAAAAUUGAAGAUUCUCCUUUUAGGAUUUAAGUCAUUUGAAGGAGAGGAAAUGAUCUGUUCUGCACAAGGUUUUGCUAAACUUGAAAAUUUGGCACUCGUCGGAUUAGAUAAGUUAAAGGAUUUGGAGGUGGGACAAGAAGCCUUCCCCUGCCUGAAAGUUUUUACUAGAUGGCAGUGCCCUCGAUUAGUGAAGCUUCCAGAUGUGCUGCGACGUGUUGCUACCCUCCAAGAGCUCUGACAUAUGCAACAGAACAGACCAGCCAUAUUUCUACAAAUUUACUAUUGUAGCUUGUUUGAUCAAAGUUUAAUGCCUACUUAUGAGAGUCUACGGGAGGCAGAGAGAGAUCAGUGGACUACAACAAGGGCUUGACAGAGCAAUGCAGAUGGGAAGCAGGCACAUAGAAAUAUGUUCAGAUUCUCAGAAGCUAGUGAACUGGUUGAAGGUGGCCAUGAGAAAUUUUUUUUCUCUCUUCGAUUUGAUUUAUGCACUUGAUUAAAACAAUUUCUGUCUGAAAUUAAGUAAACAGGAUAGGUUUUAUAUAGGUGUGGCUGAUGUAUUAGUUAAACAUGCUAAGAUGAGCAAGCAGUGUGGGGUUCUCUAUAAAGACUAUUUGAACAUGUUAUUCUUGGUGUCUGUAAGGUUAUAAACAUUUUUCAUUUUCAUUAAAAGAAAUUUUUAAGACUUGGCA